rnacentral:rRNA from 1 species
UACGUAGGGUGCGAGCGUUGUCCGGAAUUAUUGGGCGUAAGGGCUCGUAGGCGGUUUGUCGCGUCGGGAGUGAAAACCUCGGGCUUAACUCGGGGCUUGCUUUCGAUACGGGCAGACUAGAGGUAUGCAGGGGAGAACGGAAUUCCUGGUGUGAGCGGUGAAAUGCGCAGAUAUCAGGAGGAACACCGGUGGCGAAGGCGGGGUCUCUGGGCAAAUGAACUGACGCUGAGGAGCGAAAGCGUGGGGAGGCGAACAGG